rnacentral:rRNA from 1 species
UCGAGCGCGCCUUCGGGCGAGCGGCGGACGGGUUAGUAACGCGUGGGAACGUGCCCAGAUCUACGGAAUAGCCACUGGAAACGGUGAGUAAUACCGUAUACGCCCUUAGGGGGAAAGAUUUAUCGGAUUUGGAUCGGCCCGCGUUAGAUUAGGUAGUUGGUGGGGUAACGGCCUACCAAGCCUACGAUCUAUAGCUGGUUUUAGAGGAUGAUCAGCAACACUGGGACUGAGACACGGCCCAGACUCCUACGGGAGGCAGCAGUGGGGAAUCUUGGACAAUGGGGGAAACCCUGAUCCAGCCAUGCCGCGUGAGUGAAGAAGGCCCUAGGGUCGUAAAACUCUUUCGCCUGUGAUGAUAAUGACAGUAGCAGGUAAAGAAACCCCGGC